UACGGAGGAUGCAAGCGUUAUCCGGAUUUAUUGGGUUUAAAGGGUGCGCAGGCGGCGCGUUAAGUCAGCGGUGAAACCUCCCGGCUCAACCGGGGAACUGCCGUUGAUACUGGCGUGCUAGAGUACGGACGGCGCCGGUGGGAUGUGUCAUGUAGCGGUGAAAUGCUUAGAUAUGCCACAGAACACCGAUCGCGAAGGCAGUUGGCGAGGCCGGUACUGACGCUCAGGCACGAAAGCGUGGGGAUCAAAC
rnacentral:rRNA from 1 species